UUUGGAGAGGCGUAUGGGAGUUGACAAUGAUUUCUGGCUAUAUGUUGGGCCGGUUGUACAUCCUGCUGCUCCAGGGGUCGGACGUGCAAUGUUUUAAUGCUGGUGAGUGAAGUUUUAAUUAGCACCACUUUCUCAGAACGGUAUAUCACUGUUAAGUGAAUCUGUGCCUUAUUCUAUUUCACUUUCCUUAUCACACACAACGCACACCACUUUACUUGAUUUUAUUAUGUUAUUACCUCAUGUUCACCUCAUAUCCAUGUUUUUUAUUUUUCAGUGGACAUUGCCACAAUAUGUCUGCCAUGAGUUUAUAAAGUAGAUCCAAUCAUUCUUUUUGGUGACUGAAAAUGCUCUCUGGAACUAAACUAACUUUUCCUGCAAACCCCUUGUGAUUGGAGCGUAUUAAAGAGGAGAAAAGUCACUAAUUAUAAAGAUAUAAUUAAUGAAUUGCUUUAAUUUCAAUGUAAGUCGAGAGGAAUAUUUCAUCUCAUUAAAGUGGUUAUAGUGCUUGGAGUUACCUGGCGCUGUGCCUUCUUUCCGUGUUAAACCGUUUUCAAGCAGUUUAAGACUGAAUGAGGGUCCCUGGCUGUUCAAAGACCGACCCCCACUGCAGGUAUAACUGAAGCUGAAAUUAAACGUCUCCUUAGUCGUCCAAAGUUAUACCUGCAAUAGGUGGCUGUAACUCUCAGCCAAUCACAGCCACCCAUUGCAGCUUGGGCUAAUACUACCUUGUUUAUCAAUAAACCAUUAAAAAUGGUGUCUAUUUUAUCCUUGUUACAGCAGUUUUAAAUGAAAUCCCGAGGAUAACGUUGUAUCUG